UACGGGGGGAGCAAGCGUUGUUCGGAUUUACUGGGCGUAAAGGGCGCGUAGGCGGCGUGACAAGUCACUUGUGAAAUCUCCGGGCUUAACUCGGAACGGUCAAGUGAUACUGUCGUGCUAGAGUACAGAAGGGGCAACUGGAAGUUCUCGGUGUAGCGGUGAAAUGCGUAGAUAUCGAGAGGAACACCUGCGGCGAAGGCGGGUUGCUGGGCUGAUACUGACGCUGAGGCGCGAAGCUAGGGGAGCGAACGGG
rnacentral:rRNA from 1 species